rnacentral:other from 1 species
UAUUUCCUGCGGUGUGCGACAACUGCGACUAAUACUAACCCUAUGUCAAAUAAAAGGGAGUCCGGACUUCUGACGGGGAUUGCAGACCUCCCGCUUCGGCGGACGAAGGGAGCGUGAAACGUUGGAGAGGACACCCACCUGCUAAGAGCAGGUUACUAUUAUCGCAACCGGCACUGUGGGAUAACC